rnacentral:rRNA from 1 species
GUGGGGAAUCUUGCGCAAUGGGCGAAAGCCUGACGCAGCCAUGCCGCGUGAAUGAUGAAGGUCUUAGGAUUGUAAAAUUCUUUCACCGGGGACGAUAAUGACGGUACCCGGAGAAGAAGCCCCGGCUAACUUCGUGCCAGCAGCCGCGGUAAUACGAAGGGGGCUAGCGUUGCUCGGAAUUACUGGGCGUAAAGGGCGCGUAGGCGGAUCGUUAAGUCAGGGGUGAAAUCCCAGAGCUCAACUGUGGAACUGCCCUUGAUACUGGCGAUCUUGAGUGUGAGAGAGGUAUGUGGAACUCCGAGUGUAGAGGUGAAAUUCGUAGAUAUUCGGAAGAACACCAGUGGCGAAGGCGACAUACUGGCUCAUUACUGACGCUGAGGCGCGAAAGCGUGGGGAGCAAACAGGAUUAGAAACCCUGGUAGUCC